rnacentral:rRNA from 1 species
UACGUAGGGGGCAAGCGUUGUCCGGAUUUACUGGGCGUAAAGGGCGCGUAGGCGGCGCGGUAAGUCACCUGUGAAAACUCUGGGCUCAACUCAGAGCCUGCAGGCGAAACUGCCGUGCUUGAGUGUGGGAGAGGUGCGUGGAAUUCCCGGUGUAGCGGUGAAAUGCGUAGAUAUCAGGAGGAACACCUGUGGUGUAGACAGCUUACUGGACCACUUCUGACGCUGAGACACGAAAGCGUGGGUAGCAAACAGG